rnacentral:lncRNA from 1 species
AACCCUGAGACGGACACUAAGUUUAGGCCAGAAACACCUAGGCAUAGAGGCAAGCAACCUUCUACCUACUUCAAUCUACUGAAAUUUUGGAUUUCAUGUCAUUUACAAGGCUCAGUUUUCUGCACCUGCCUUGGUAUUUGACAACUCCAGCCAAUUUUCCACUUGCUUCCUCACCAAUGCUUCUUCAGCUUGAAGACUAACAUCUAGAAGAGUCAUGAAGUCUAAAGUCAAGAGGAGUCUUAUCUUCUAGAAAGUUUUUC